AUUUUUCUUUUUAUAUUUUAUUAUUAUGAUGUUUUCAUUUGAGUAUUUGUGUUUAUGCUAUUGUAUUUUUCAAUGUUUUCUUUGUAAAGCUUAAUUGAACUGCUUCUAUGUAUGAAUUGUGCUAUAUAAAUAAGCUUGCUUGCUAUAUCAAAAUGUGGUGGCAUGUUAAAAAAUAAAAAAUUUGGAAACCCAGCCAUAAUGGCACUGAAACACAAAAAAUAUUGCUACACCUUUGACAACAUCUGCUUUACAUGUGUGCAACCAAUAAAAUAAAAGUAGGGACAAAUACCAAUUUGUUUUUCAAUGGUAUUAACCCACCUGUACACACGCCAUUGUGUCUUGGCCAAUGCAGAGAAACAGAGUUUCCUUGGUGUAUGUUUUGCAGGUGCAUUCUAGGAGCCCCAAGCUAUAAUUGUUAUGACCAGCACUUCUCAGUCUCCAACUGUCUAACAGUGUGUGUGAUGUGAACACGUUACCAAAGGGGUAAUUGUCUAAUCAACUUUUAUUCAUGCCAUAAGCAUUUGUUUUUUUAUUAGCUAGGAUAAAGCCAUGAAAUCCAGAAAAGUGGCUAAUCUGUCAAUUGCAAUUUUUUUAAAUACACAUUCAUAUAACUACCUGUGGUCUACUCAUAGUGAGUUACAUUUCAUUUUCGUAAACACAUCAGCCAGUCAGCGAAAAAAGCUGACAUGAAAUUGUGGAUAAGAUCGACUGUUUCAAAUUUCUGCUCAUCAAUUGUAGAGCCAUGUAGACUAAAGUGGAAAGAAACACAAAUUUCUCUCGUUUUCCAUGAGAAUCAGAAUACAUUUUAGAAUAUCUCACGUGUCUCAGGAAUGCUCCUGAUAGAAUUUUGCAAGUGAAGUUGAUAACAUGGUGAGUGUAAGUAUAUGUUGUUUAGAUGAGGUGGGGUUUAAUUUGGUACAGUAUAUUUAUUGUUCUAGAUUGAUUUUCAAGUCAUAUUAACAACAACAUAUAAAAGGGUCAUACUUGGUUGAAAAUGACUCAUUUCAACAACAAAAUGUCUGGAUUCUGUUGGUCACAAUGCAUAUUAAAUUUUACUCAUUUUGGUUAUAGCCCUGAACUACCUCAUCUGAAAGACUUAAUCAGACGCGUAAAAAAACGUGGACUACCUGUGUAGAGGACAGAUGUUUAGAAUAUAGUACCCAUGUAUUAUUUUGAUUAUCUUCAUGAUUUGUGUAUUAAUUGCAUUAUGAACACUGAUAAGCCUCUUUAGGCAUUGGAUUCUGUUAAAUUAUUAGAAACCUGCUUUUGAAUAAAAGCCAUGCUGAAUAAAACUAAAAUAAUCAACUGCU
ensembl:lncRNA